GGAAUCUUGCGCAAUGGGCGAAAGCCUGACGCAGCAACGCCGCGUGCGGGAAGAAGGCUUUCGGGCUGUAAACCGCUUUCAGCAGGAACGAAAAUGACGGUACCUGCAGAAGAAGGAGCGGCCAACUAUGUGCCAGCAGCCGCGGUGAUACAUAGGCUUCAAGCGUUGUCCGGAUUUAUUGGGCGUAAAGAGUUCGUAGGCGGUCAAGUAAGUCGGGUGUGAAAAUUCUGGGCUCAACCCAGAGACGCCACCCGAUACUGCUUAACUUGAGUUCGAUAGGGGAGUGGGGAAUUCCUAGUGUAGCGGUGAAAUGCGCAGAUAUUAGGAGGAACACCGGUGGCGAAGGCGCCACUCUGGAUCGAUACUGACGCUGAGGAACGAAAGCAUGGGUAGCAAACAGGAUUAGAUACCCUGGUAGUCCAUGCCGUAAACGGUGGGCACUAGGUGUGGGAUUCUAUUAACGAAUUCCGCGCCGUCGCUAACGCAUUAAGUGCCCCGCCUGGGGAGUACGGUCGCAAGACUAAAACUCAAAUGAAUUGACGG
rnacentral:rRNA from 1 species